rnacentral:rRNA from 1 species
UUGACGGGGCCGCACAAGCGGCGGAGCAUGCGGAUUAAUUCGAUGCAACGCGAAGAACCUUACCAAGGCUUGACAUACACCGGUAACGCCCAGAGAUGGGUGCCCCUUUGUGGUCGGUGGACAGGUGGUGCAUGGGUUGUCGUCAGCUCGUGUCGUGAGAUGUUGGGUUAAGUCCCGCAACGAGCGCAACCCUCGUCCUAUGUUGCCAGCGGGUCAUGCCGGGGACUCAUGGGAGACUGCCGGGGUCAACUCGGAGGAAGGUGGGGAUGACGUCAAAUCAUCAUGCCCCUUAUGUCUUGGGCUUCACGCAUGCUACAAUGGCCGGUACAAAGGGCUGCGAUACCGCGAGGUGGAGCGAAUCCCAGAAAGCCGGUCUCAGUUCGGAUUGGGGUCUGCAACUCGACCCCAUGAAGUCGGAGUCGCUAGUAAUCGCAGAUCAGCAACGCUGCGGUGAAUACGUUCCCGGGCCUU